CUCUGUGCUUGAUGGUAUAACAGAGCUCCAACAUCGGCAACAUUUAGUCAGUAUCACAUCAUUAAAACAAUAUCUGGAGUAGACUGGACAUAAUAGGAUCCCCAUUCAAAAUGAAGUUCCUCCGUGUUCUUUGGCUUUGGAUGUUUCUUUCAGAAUUCAAUUCAAGCACUGGUGAAAUUUCUAGACGAGGAUACAGUGAAGGAAACAUCACAAUUACAUGUUCCCACAGCUGGGCUUCAACCAACAAGAAGUAUUUCUGCAGAGAUCCCUGUGGAAAGGGUGAUAUAUUUGUGAAGUCUGACCAGACAUCUAAAGGGAGAUACACACUGAAGGAUUUCGGAGAUGGAAACUUUGCCGUGAACAUCAGGGAUCUACUGGAGUCAGACUCUGGGAUUUACUGGUGUGGAGUGGAUAGAGUUGGUCGAGACACAUUUCAGAAAGUCAAACUGAUAAUAUCUAAAGCCAACACUGGAAACAGGGAAGAAGUGACUCGUCAAGGGACAAUGGAAACACAGACAAGCAAGGAAAUGCACUUGACUAAAACAAGACUCUCUGUUUUCAUAUCUUCAACCACUAAGGACAGCACACUCUCACUGACAUCAACAGGUUUUGUCGAAGAAUCUGGUCCAGCAGGCGAAAAAACAGGCAAGUUCCUAACCCUUUAUAUGUAUGCUGACAUAUGUUAUGUAAUGCAAAUCAAGGUUUCUAUUACAAUAUGCAGGUGCUGAACACAAAAACUCAUCCUCGAUUGCCCAUAUAUUCCCAGUGUCAGAACAUUAUAUUCCUUACGCUGCCGCUGGUCUGGCCAUCAUGUGUGCAGUUGGACUGGUCACUGUUUGUCAUUGCAGAAAGAGAGUCAAGUCAAGUUGUAAUCUUGAUAGAUCUAUGUACAAUUCCCAUCAUAGCGAGGAGGCUAAUGCUGUUUAUCAGAACGCUCCUGAUAACAGACCCUACAUCACCAUGAAUAUUUCCAGUAACAAGUCUAAUGAUGAAAGCCAAUCAGACCCAAUCUACCAGAACCUACAGUGCAACACUACCCUGGGAGAGGAUGUAUAUGGCAAUCUAUAAAACAUAUUCAAUCCAAUAUCCUCAAGCCCAAACACAUUCUACAUUACAAGCAUGGCACAGGUUUCAAUUUCAAAUUCAAUCAACAACAUUUCUGAACAGUAUAUGGCAAAAACACCUUGGAAGAAAAACAAGAACAAAUGUACAGGUCAAGGUUCAAAAACACAGCACUUGGAAAUAUGAUCACGCCAUUAUUUGUAUAAAUAAAUAUCCCUUUUGCAUGUAGAGUUUGCAUGUGAAACAGAAAUGAAGGGUUGCGAUGCUACUAGGUU